GCCUCAGUAGCCUAAUGGUAAGGCGUCAGGCUUCUAACCUGAAGAUUGCGGGUUCGAGUCCCGUCUGAGGUG